AUUGAACGCUGGCGGCGUGCUUAACACAUGCAAGUCGAUCGGUAACAGGUGUAGCAAUACAUGCUGACGAGAGGCGGACGGGUGAGUAAUGCUUGGGAAUCUGCCUAUUAGUGGGGGACAACCCGGGGAAACUCGGGCUAAUACCGCAUACGCUACUACGGAGGAAAGCCGGGGACCGCAAGGCCUGGCGCUAAUAGAUGAGCCCAAGUCGGAUUAGCUAGUUGGUAGGGAACGGCCUACCAAGGCGACAAUCCGUAGCUGGUCUGAGAGGACGACCAGCCACACCGGAACUGAGACACGGUCCGGACUCCUACGGGAGGCAGCAGUGGGGAAUAUUGGACAAUGGGGGCAACCCUGAUCCAGCGACGCCGCGUGGGUGAAGAAGGCCUGCGGGUUGUAAAGCCCUUUCGGUGGGGAAGAAAAGUCUCGACCUAAUACGUCGGGACCUUGACGUAACCCACUAAAGAAGCACCGGCUAACUCUGUGCC
rnacentral:rRNA from 1 species